ACCUCGGGAAACUGAGGCCAAUAGCGGAUAUAACUCUCAGGCUGGAGUGCCGAGAGUUAGAAACGUUCCGGCGCUGUAGGAUGUGGCUGCGGCCGAUUAGGUAGAUGGUGGGGUAACGGCCCACCAUGCCGAUAAUCGGUACAGGUUGUGAGAGCAAGAGCCUGGAGACGGUAUCUGAGACAAGAUACCGGGCCCUACGGGGCGCAGCAGGCGCGAAACCUUUACACUGCACGACAGUGCGAUAGGGGGACUCCGAGUGUGAGGGCAUAUAGCCCUCGCUUUUCUGUACCGUAAGGUGGUACAGGAACAAGGACUGGGCAAGACCGGUGCCAGCCGCCGCGGUAAUACCGGCAGUCCAAGUGAUGGCCGAUAUUAUUGGGCCUAAAGCGUCCGUAGCUUGCUGUGUAAGUCCAUUGGGAAAUCGACCAGCUCAACUGGUCGGCGUCCGGUGGAAACUACACAGCUUGGGGCCGAAAGACUCGACGGGUACGUCCGGGGUAGGAGUGAAAUCCUGUAAUCCUGGACGGACCACCAAUGGGGAAACCACGUUGAGAGAACGGACCCGACAGUGAGGGACGAAAGCCAGGGUCUCGAACCGGAUUAGAUACCCGGGUAGUCCUGGCUGUAAACAAUGCUCGCUAGGUAUGUCACGCGCCAUGAGCACGUGAUGUGCCGUAGUGAAGACGAUAAGCGAGCCGCCUGGGAAGUACGUCCGCAAGGAUGAAACUUAAAGGAAUUGGCGGGGGAGCACCACAACCGGAGGAGCCUGCGGUUUAAUUGGACUCAACGCCGGAAAUCUCACCGGUCCCGACAGUAGUAAUGACGGUCAGGUUGACGACUUUACCCGACGCUACUGAGAGGAGGUGCAUGGCCGCCGUCAGCUCGUACCGUGAGGCGUCCUGUUAAGUCAGGCAACGAGCGAGACCCGCACUUCUAGUUGCCAGCAAUACCCUUGAGGUAGUUGGGUACACUAGGAGGACUGCCGCUGCUA
rnacentral:rRNA from 1 species